GGCGUAUUUGAACGAAAAGGCUGGCCUCGUGUCGGNUGAGGGAAGAUGGAGGCUCGCUCGCGGGCCUCUCGCAUUCCCGGGGCGUCUCGUCCUACUUCCGCUCGUCGGUCGAAGGUGAGGCGCACCAAGAGCGCACACGUUGGGACCCGAAAGAUGGUGAACUAUGCCUGGCCAGGACGAAGUCAGGGGAAACCCUGAUGGAGGUCCGUAGCGAUUCUGACGUGCAAAUCGAUCGUCGGAGCUGGGUAUAGGGGCGAAAGACUAAUCGAACCAUCUAGUAGCUGGUUCCCUCCGAAGUUUCCCUCAGGAUAGCUGGUGCUCAUUGAACCGAGUCCCAUCCGGUAAAGCGAAUGAUUAGAGGCCUUGGGGUCGAAACGAUUUCAACCUAUUCUCAAACUUUAAAUGGGUGGGAACCGCGGCUUGUUUGUGUGCCUAAAGCCGCGGACCUUGGAUCGGAGUGCCCAGUGGGCCACUUUUGGUAAGCAGAACUGGCGCUGUGGGAUGAACCAAACGCCGGGUUAAGGCGCCCGAACCAACKCUCWUUCGAAACCAUGAAAGGUGUUGGUUGYUUAARACAGCAGGACGGUGGCCAUGGAAGUCGGAAUCCGCUAAGGAGUGUGUAACAACUCACCUGCCGAAGCAACUASCCCUGAAAAUGGAUGGCGCUUAAGCGUUGUGCCUAUACCCSGCCGCCGGUGGCAGAAGGUGGGYGCUUUCGGGCGCUCGCCGUGAAGCCCCGGUGAGUAGGAGGGUCGCGACGGUGAGCGCAGAAGGGUCUGGGCGUGAGCCUGCCUGGAGCCACCGUCGGUGCAGAUCUUGGUGGUAGUAGCAAAUACUCCAGCGAGGCCCUGGAGGACWGAUGUGRAGAAGGGUUCCGUGUGAACA
rnacentral:rRNA from 1 species